rnacentral:tRNA from 1 species
GGGCCCGUAGUUCAGCUGGUUAGAAUGCCUGCUUUGCAAGCAGGAGGUCGGGAGUUCGAAUCUCCCCGGGUCCACCA